UCCUUUGCAUGGGCUCCAGGUCCUGC
rnacentral:piRNA from 1 species